rnacentral:lncRNA from 1 species
GUCUAUUCAGCUAAUCAAAUUAUCAUGAAAUAUAUCAGCUGGUAACAUCAGCAGCAUAAUCAUAAGUGCAUUUAUAUGGCAAAUAAAAAGACAGAUCAUUAGCAAGAAAAAAAAAAUCUGGAACUCAAAGCAAUUAUAUGCACACAAAUGGUCUCUUCACAUAAUUAAUUGGCCUAAAAAUUAGUAUGAAAACCACCAGAUUUUAUUUGCCAGUAUAAAUGUUAACACAUUUUUUAAAUUUUAGAGUACUAGCCAAAUAGCUACAGUGCUUUCCCACAGAAAUUCACAAUUUAUACUGUAUGCCAACUUAUGCCUGUAGUAAUCACAUUUCAUUACAGGCAGGAAAUGAAACGUGGUAUAGGAAUGAGCUGAGACCUUAGCCUGUUCUCAUUAGUGACAUGAAAAUGUUGCUUGACAGCUGUAUUUUAUAUUCUGUUGUACUCUUGGAAACUACAUUUGCUAAGAAGGUUGGAAGGGAGAGGUUUUUAUAAGAUAGCUUGAUAAAGUUAGAUGAUUAGAGGAGGAUUCUGGCAUGCCAGCAUUAUUUCUAACAGCUGCUGUGUUUUCCUUCAAGACUGAAACUGUGCUUGAGAUACUCUCAUUUUUAUUGUUUCCCAAGCUUUAUUAACUGCUCUGUAAAAAGACCUUGUUUUUCUUUCAUUUUUAGAAGUGUAUACUUCAUUUUUCCAGUAUGCACAAGUAAAACCUGCAGAUUCUCUUUUCCACUUUCUUUGCUUAUCCAGUGUCUCCUCACGCAGCUGAUUUGAGCUUCUCUGAAAUUUAGGAACAAAAGGCCAUUAUGGAUUAAAGUAGAUUCUUCCUAAUGUGACUGAUGAUAUCUGUACUACAAAAGGAUUUGAGACUGCAUUACAGCUGGUGUUUCAAGUGCCUGCCUCUUCUCUCAUUUUCUGUGACACCCAGCUGAGUUUCUGAAAUACUUUGACUUGUAAAUUAUUCCUGCUUAUUAGAAGCCGUUCCUACCACACAUCUGAGAAACAGAGAUACUAGAAGGAUGCAAAUGACGAGAGAUGUGCCAAAAAGCAUGAAUAUCUGUUCCAGCAAAUGGAUACUUGGUACCAUGGUAGGAAUCACAUGUCCUCUUAACCCACAGGUCCUCUUAACAUCAUUUCUGGACUUCAGUUGUUUUAGAUGUCUUUGAUACAUGACAGCAUGUAUCUGAAUAUAGUAAGGUUUCCCGUAAGGUUGACUUUCUGUUUCAGCACACAAACACAUUGGUGAGAUCACUUCCCAUGCUUGGAGAUAGGUCAAAACUACAUUUGUGGACUGAUACUACAUUGAUUCAAAUUAGAAAAAAAUACAUACAUUGUGUCUCAUUGUAUACAAAGCAAAGGCAAUGAAAGAUUAUAUUUAAAAGCUGUAGACUAAUCAAAUAACAACAUCAUAUAUCUUCUCUUGAAGUUAACCUCAAACAAAGGGUAUUUUUAAUUAUUUAGGCAAAAUCUAAACCAGAAGCAUAAGAAGGGCACAUGGUAAUUUAUUUUCUGUCCACACAGCUGUCUUUUGUAAGUUGUUUUUUUUAUUUGCACAGAAGAAUCUCUAAAGGAAUAACCUCUCCCCUCUCUAAACUGCAGUGUAUUGCUUGUAUAAUAAUGUUAACUAUUUUUUCCUCUUCACAGAUAAUUUUCUGGGGAAAAUAAAUAAAUAAAUAAAUAAAAGAGGUAAUCAAUACAGAAAAAUGGUAAAAACAAUUCCACCUAAAAUUAAAAUUAGGAAUACAUCAUUUAGUAAGUAGUAACUAUAUAUUAUAGACAUGGGUCUAUGGUAAGUGAGUAACUUUAUACCUCUAAUCAUAGAACUGUUUGAGUUGGAAGGGACCCUUAUAGGCCAUGUAGCUCCACUCCCCUGCAAUGAGCAGGGACACCUACAGAUAGAUCAGGUUGCUCAGAGCCUCGUCCAGAGGCCUUGAAUAUCUCCAGGGACAGAGCUUUCACCACCUCUCUGGGCAACCUGUUCCAGUGCCUUACCAUCCUUUCAGACUUCGACUGUUAGACUGCUGGGUUUCACAUCAUAAAGACUCUAAAAAUAAUUAUUUCAGAUAUGUAGGAUUUGAUUACAGUUGUGCUUUAUUUUUCCCUUCCUUUUUACAGGUUGUGAAGGCAGGGCAGAAGUAGUAUUGUUGACCUAAAUUCUCUGCCUUAUGACAGAAAAAUAUUGUUUCAUAAAUCCAUUAAUUUCUUUUUGUCCUUUGUGACCUUAAAGUUGUCCCAUUAGUGUCUGCAUCUGUCUGAAAGCCAUUUAAGGACACCAACAAGGAAAGGUGAAUAGCAACUGAGAACAAGGGAUAAAAAUAGAGAUCAGUAUUUUCUAAUGAAACCAUAAAAUCUAUCUAGGAUGUGUUUGUGCCAGUCCAUUUUCUUAACUGUAUAUUCGUUAGUACAGAGCAGAAUAUUUUCUUAAUCCAUGAAGUCUUUGUAUGUAAAAAAUAAAUAUUUUGUAUACAGACAUAAACAAAUUUCACCUUGCCACAAGGAAUAUCAUAGUUAAACAUAAAACACUGCUGACUCACUUUUGGGGGUUUUAUUAAAGCAGCUGGAAAUGGUAGGCAUAUUGCAAAACCACUGUGUAAACACAGGCUCCCAAAGCACAUCAUCUUUGCAUAGUGUCAAUGACAUCCAAGUGCAAUUUGAUGGUGGCUGGUCAAAUUUCUGUUCUACUUAGAGGACUGUUUGUUCCAGAUCUUGUACUAUAUAGACAGAGAGGAUGCAAGCCAGUAAAUUAUAUUUGGCCUGGGGUCUAGGGCCUUGCUCUCUGGCAAGGUGAUAAGUGCAGUUUCAUCAUGAUUUAGGAACAUGUAAAUACAUUCCAGAGACAGAUGGAUACUUAGUUAUAUGUUAUCUCUAAAAUACAUUCAAUUAACUUUGAGAAUGUGGGAAUUUUAGCACAUAUAACUCACAUGCUGUAAAGUCAGAGUAGAAAAAAGAAAAAAAAACAACAACAUGAAUAGAAAAAUAAUAAUUUUUAAAAGUUUUCUUUAUAUUCCUUAAGAAAUGAUUUCACAGCAUUUACCAGAAUAUGGAAAAUUUGAGUUCUAACUUUAUUUUGGGAUAACAAGGAAUUUAAAUAAGAAUACAAUGUAUGUCUUAUCAAUACAUAAAUAUUUCACUGUUUCAGUACUAGAUGCAAAUUCAACUAUUUUUAUUUAUGAAGGUGAAAAAGUUAUUAAAAAAAAAAAAGCAUUUUUCUAUUCAUUCUCUUCCUAAAGAGCCUUUGAAGAAAUUUGUGUCUAAAACAUGAAAAAAUAAUGUCUAUUCCACUAGGUGAUUAAACACUAAAAGAGGUUCUGAUAGGCUGUGGUAUCUCCCACUGCUUCACCAAAUAUAUGCAAGCACAGCCCUGGCCAGUAUGAAAAAAAAAACUGAUUUUAUUUUAAGGAGGCUCAAGAGCCUGCCAGGUUCUGAUACAAAGACUGUGUAUCAGAAUCCCAGAAGCUUCCUACUGUAGCUUCCCAGUACGCGUACAGCAAGCAAUUUUGAAUUGUCUUAUUUGUUAAUAUCUCACUUCAUUAUGUACUCUUUUUUCUUCAUCUUUUCUAUGUGAGAAAACAUAGUUGAAUAACUCAGUGAAAUUGAAAGGUUGAAAAAUGUGUUUACAAUGCUGCAAAACAACAUUCUGACCUCAAAAUCAUUAGUUUUUCAGAACUUUAAAUCAAAAACAUCUCCAUAUUUUUUCUUACCAUCUUUUCUUAGCAAGUCUUAGCAUUCAUUUGUUGUUGUUAGAUCAGAAAUUAUCUCUUACUGUUUCUUUGGUGUAUUGCAGUAAUUUUUUUUUUUAUUUUUUUUUCAGGGAGUAGUUCUACAUCAUUUGCUUCAAAGCAAUUUUUCUUAGUUACACAAAAACAUUAUUCCAAAACAAAAUUUCAAAUCCAUAGUAACAUUAUUUACACAUAAAAUAUGCAAGCAGUAAUAUUUGUUCAUGAGAGGUAAUCACCCAUAAUUGAUUACACAGCAAAUAAAAAAUCAGCAUUUUCAAUAACCAGAAGUUGUUUAUUAUGAAUACACAUUAUAUUUAGUCUGUAUGACUAUUAUUUCAGUUACAUAAGUAAGGAAGAUUAAUUUAUUGGGUAGUGCAAAAAAAAGAUACAAUUUGUUCUUUCCUUGCUUUGAAACAAAGUGUUCCGAGCUCCUCCUGUUUGCUCUGACUUUUCCUUGUAACGUUCUUUCCUGCAGGGUUUGAGGUGGGUAGUUGAAGGACAGACUUAGAAGGUUGGAAUAAUGAUUACUUCUGGAAGGUUUGUUUUCUGAGAAAAUACUGAACUUUCUGAAAUGAUUGAAGUUAUUCUUCUGUAACACAUUCAAAGUAAUUUUACAAGGCCAGUUUUGGAGUAGCCAACUGCAACUAAGCUUGUCCUAUGCCAUAUAUAAAACCUCAGUUUUUGAUUCAUAUAUCCUGUUUUGCUAAAGUUGUAUUUCACUCUGGUUUCAUUUUAGGUGAAGAUACAAACACAGAACCCCAUUUCUCUACUAUCAAAAUUGGAGGAGAUGGUGUGUUUUGUAAAAUUAGCAGGAAUAAAGUGCAACUGAAUUGUGUAUAUGCACUUCUGAUAUUCACCUAAUUGAAGCUGUAACAGUAGAGUUAAUUAAAAUUGUAAGCUGCAGGUACUCAGAGCCUCAACUAGCAGAUAAAAAUGUGAUUAGCAUCAUAUAAAGGCAAAUUGGAUUAAUUCCUCUUGGGGUAUGACGUACCCAGCAGACACCACAUUACAGUCUUCAGCACAUUGACUGUUGCACUGUAUGAGGCAUCCCUGCAGUGAGGGAAGGUUUGACAAAGGACAACAAAGCCACAGGGAACCUUAUUCUAGAUUUGACAAUCAGAAAAUGCUCAUGGUGAAAAACUGUUUACAAAUUCUUUUAUGCCUAUGACAAGAAAGAGGGCUGAUAUUUUCCUCUGAAGGUAGAACUAUUACAGGAAAAAAAAAAAUGAUGAGGAAAAGUGGACAGUGUAUUACUUUUUUUUGCAGAAGCUCUGUUUAACCCAGUAUUGAAAAAAAAAAUUCAACAAUGUGGACGCUGACAGCAAUUAUCUAGUCCUAUCUACUAAUUACAUUUUGGUUUCUAUGAUGUUGGAAACAUAGAUGACAUAAUUUAGGCCUUAACAGCACAGAAUCUACUGGAUAAAUCCUUGCCUGUGGAAAGAAAUACAUCAACUUGGACUGGUAAGACAUCUAUCCCACCAUAAUGCUGUGACCUAGUUCUGUGCCUAUCUGAACCUUCGAAGGGCCUCCAGUAUUUCCAGUUUGUGAACUGCCUUAGAUCAUCAUUAUCUUCCAGAUUGCUAAAGCUUGAGGUGUCUGUCUUUUGCCUCUUAGCUGCACAAGAUUUUGAGCUGGAAAAGCUGGCCUCUCAACUGGUUGACACAUUAAUCUAACCAGGUGUGGGUCAAUAGCAAAUAUCUAAAGCCAAAUUCAAAAUUGACUUAGUGUAGCUCUAUUGUAACUUAGCUAAAUGUCCCACAGGUACUCUAUUUACAGAUGGUAGUAGAACAGGAUGUACAUCUUUGCAUCAGGGCUGAAAAAAAGACAAAAUGAAAGAGAAUAAUAAUAAGAAUAAUGAAAGAGAAUAAGAAUAAUAAGAAAGUGAAAGGAACAUCUGGACAUCUCCGUCUCACACAUUGGUUGUAUUUGGAUACACUAUGCGUCACUACCAGUCCUAUUUAGAAACUUGUACAUUUCAAACACGCAGGAUUUCUGUACCAAUGGCUGAUUUAAUUUGGUAACACACAAGUGACUGAAGGAAAGUUUUAUUUUUAGUUUAAUAUUCUUCUGCCUCUGACAGAGUGUUCUGAAAUCGGAUGUCCACAGAUGUCAAAUAUACUGACUUGCCUGAUUUGUUAUCAUAAAAGCAUUUUGACUCAUACUGCCAUCAUUUUCUGGGGUUCUUCUAGCAAAUGUGAAAAUUAAUCAGUUGUAUGACAUGUAAGUCUAAUGGGUUUGAUAGUAUAGUCCUGCGUAGUAUUAUUGCUCUGUUGCUUUUCUGUCUGAUGCUCAGUUACUGUUUUAUUUCUAGUAUACGCUCAAUUUCCACAGAUAAUUCCUGGUGGGUGAAACUCCCAAAGAUGCAGUUAGUGUGCUAGCAAGGCUGCUCUGUAUCUCCUUUGAGAGGCUGUGGAGAUGAGAGGAGUCUCAAAGCAUGAAGAAAGGGAAAAUUGCACCCAACUUAAAAAAAAAAAAAUAAAAAUAUGGAGAAUGGAAUUACUGAGUGUAAAUCAUGCAUGAUCUUGACUUUAAGCUAUUAAGCUGUUAUUAUUAUACAUAUUAAGCUAUGGCAUCAGACUAAUCAGACCAUUGGGAAGAGAACUUCACUGGAAACAUGUGAAUGACCUAUGACAGUUAAAUUGGAAGUUUUGGUUGCACUUUCUUUAGCCUAGUAUCUUUUUGACGUUUAGCAGUCACAUUCAUGUUUUGUGAUUUAGUGGAUAUCAAUGAAGUUAGUGCAGCCAUAAAAGAUUUUCCAAAGAAUGUAGGUGGGCUUCUUGUAUGCUAUUUGUUGACUAAAAAUUGAAGUACAGAGCUCUCAGCAAGAUUAAGUUGUUGUCAGUGUCUGAGAUGUCCAGCUUUGCAAUAUGUGCAGACCUCUACUCUACGGAAAAGUUAAAUGUAAAUAGACUGCUUUGUAGGUACAAUCUGACAUCACAGUGUGGUAAAAAUGAAGAUUAUGCAGCCAGCUCCAUAUAUUACUGUAAUAAAAAAGAUAAAUAAGUUAACUAAUACAAAAUUUCUUUUCUUUUUUUUCAUAUUUUUUCUAGGAUAGAAGAGAGUUUUAAUACGAUAGUGUAAAUGUAAGCAGAUGAGCACCCCCUGACACCGAGACAUUUCUGGAUCAAGAUGUGGAGAACUACUUUGCUUUUCUGUGUUUGUAUAUCUGUCUGUCUGCCUGCCUGCCUGUCUUUCUUUCCCUGUUUUCUAUCUUUUCUAUUUAUCUUCUUUUAUUCUUUCAUUCUUUGUAGUAGCCAUUGCCUAAUAUUGUCUUAGAAGUUUUAGCAUAGAGAUAAAUCUUACAUUGAGGUGCUCUUACCCAUAGCACUUAUUAAUCUUUAUUAGCAAAAUAGCUAAUUUUACCAAGUAGAGUAUUAGCUGCUGUUAAAAAGUUCUCAAUAAAUUAAUUUGUAUUAUUCUCCGAGUCUUAAAUAAACCAUGAAUAACACUGAUCUUUUUUUCCCCCCCAGGAAAAUUCCACGUGCUUCAAGAAAAAUUCUAUGUCACAGAAUAAAAAAGUUAGAGCUUUCUGAUUGCUACCUCCUGCCAAUGACAUGAAUCUCUUGAAAAUCACUUUCCCUGCAGCUGUGAAACCUUGAACCAUUUUACCCGAUCAUGAUUAGUAGUUCCUGAGCAGAAGUGUUUGAGCAAGUCCUAACAGAACCACUUUUUGGUUUGGAACUGUUUCAAGGGAAGAGAAAAAUUGUACCGAUACCAUAUGAAAAGAAAAGGUCAGAUAUAAUAAUUUCAUCAUUUUGGAUGUUUUUAUCAGUAUUAAGGACUAUGUUAAUCAAUUUUUGAUUUUUUUUUCCUUUUGCAUAAUUUUUCCUGUCACUGUAAUUUUAAUGAUUGAAUCAUUUAUAAUGGUAUCACAUAAUUUAAGUCAUAUGUCACAAAGGAAAAACUUUCAUGCAUGAAAAAAUUCCACUGCUUUCAACUGACAAAGGAACAUUGAUGAAAUUACACUGACAGUAUUUAUUGAAUUUAUAAGAUUUCUUGCAUUUUGUUGUUUUUGUUACAAGUAAUGUUCAAAUUUACUCCAAAAACUGAAAAUAAAAGUUUUUAUUUGUGACAAAUUCAAAUUCUGACAAAAUCAGUAACAUCCCUCAGUACCUAAAAAUGAAGUUUUUUUUUUUUUUUUAACAACGCAUGAAAAGCUAUAUAAAACAAACAAAAAAACAGACAAACAAACAAAAACUUUCUAGAAAUAUAGUUAUUUAAUUGUGAGGUAGUAAUGUAGGAGUUAAAUCAGCUACUACAUAAAUAAUAGUAACAGAACUUCUAUAGUUUUCUGUAAUAUGAAGUUUACAACUCUCUAAAUUGUUAUUUUAGUUUUCUCCAAGUUGCCUUAGGAAGUUAUUUAUAUAUCAGUAUAGAGAAGAAACUCUGACAGUAGGAUGGAAUGGUAUGCCCUAAUAUUGAAUAUCAAAGAACUGAGAACCAGAACAAUACUUACAGCUGUAAAAAGAAAUAAAAAUGGUAAACCUUCAAAAUUAAAAUAAUUUUAAUAAUGCAAUGCAAUAAAGAAAAAGAACAAUAAUAUAAUUGAAAACCUUGAAAGAGAUUUUUUUCAUGACAGUUAUGAAAAAAGCAGAAAUGCUAUAAAAUUAAGAAGGAUGCAGCUUAAAAAUAUAAUAAACUCUAGACAUAUGGAAUGGUCUAAAAAUAGUUUAAUUGUUCAUGUUAAUCACUGAAAAAAACAACAGCACAUAUUUUCAAUAUUUCAGAAUGAAUACUAUCUGAUCCAUUUGUUGAAUACUGGCUAACCUAGUGAGGUAGUGAGGUGGGCUUUACAGUAAAGGAUUUGCUGGGCAGGUCUAGAAUGGCAAUGCUCACACCAUUGCAACUGACUGGAGAAUGAGCCAGGCUAAACAGAAGAGUCACAGUUGUUCUUUGGCUGCAUAAUGGUAGGGAAAUCUACAUCCACUGUCCUCUUGCCUUCUCUGAAGGACCUUUAUACCAAGGCAUGCAGCAUGAAAAAUAGACAGGAGGAAUUAGAGAUCUAUGUGAGAUUGCAGGGCUGUAAUCUCAUAGAGAUCACGGAGACAUGGUGGGACAGUUCACAUGACUGGAAUGCAGUCUUGGACAGCUAUGUCAUUUUUAGGAGAGACAGGCAAGCAAGACAAGGUAGUGAAGCUGGUCUUUAUGUGAGAGAGCGACUGGAGUAUAUUGAGCUCCACCUAGGGAUGAAUAAUGAACUAGAGAGAUUGUGGAUGUGAAUUGAGGGAAAGUUAAUAUGCGUAACAUCAUUGUGAGUGUUUACUACAGGCCACUUGAUUGCGAGGAGGAAGAUAAUGAGGCCUUCUACACACAACUGACAUUUUAUGAUCCCAGGCACUGAUUCUUAUCAGGGACUUCUACCAUAACAUCAGAUUACUCUGAUGCAGGUGGUGAUGGAGCCAAUGAGGAGAGGUGUGCUGCUGGACCUUGUUCUUACAAACAAGGAAGGGCUGCCUGGGAAUAUGAAGGCUGGGGGCACUGUGGGAUGCAGUGACCAUGAGACAGUGGAGUCCAGGAUCUUGUGUGGAGGAAACAAGGUGAUAAGUAGGAUUGCAGCCCUGAAUUUCAGGAGAGCCAAAUUUGACCUCUUCAAGGACAUACUUGGAGAUAUCCCUUAGAUAUCUUUUGUAUCCCUUAGAUACCUCCCAAGAGAGGUGAUCAACCUUAAAUAUCACUUAUUCUGAGCUAAAGAUUGGUGUAUACCUAUAAGUAAGAAAUCAGGGAAGGUAGGCAGGAGACUUGCAUGGAUGAGUAAGGAGCUCAUGAAAAAUCUCAUAGGGAAGAUAUAUGGAAUGAGGAAAGAUUCUGACCCCUUUAAAGGAAUAUAGGAAUGAUGUCAGGGCAUGCAGGGAUGUGAUGAGGAGGGCUAAGGCCCACUUGAAAUUAAAUCUGACUAGAGAAUUCAAAGAUAAGGAAGACUUUUUAAUGUAUGUCAAUAACAAAAGGAAGACUAAGAAAAAUGUGGACCAGCUGCUGAGUGAGGUGAUAGCAAGGGAUGCUGAGAAGUCUGCUUUUCUUCAGUCUUUACUGCUAAGACUGCUCCUCAGAAAUUCCAGACCCUGGAGGUAAAAAAGAGAGUCUGGAGAAAGAAAGAUCUGGUAAGAGUUCAACUAGGUAAAAUCAACACAUACCAAUGCACGGGCCCUGAUAGGAUGCACCCAGACGUGCUGAGUUGGCAGGAGUGAUUGCCAAAACACUCUCUGUUAUCUUUGGAAGGUCAUGGAAAGCAUGAGUGGAGGUUCUACAAGGGCAGGUGCAGACUCCUGCAUGUGGAUAGGAAUAACCACGUACAUCAGAACAGAUUAUGGGUCGACCUUCCAGCAAGGAGCUCUUUGGAGAAGGACUUAGGAACUCUGGCAGACAACUUGUGGACCAUGAGCCAGCAAUGUGCCCCUGUGACCAAGAAAGCCAAUGGUAUCCUGGGUCAUCAAAAAAUGCAAGGCUAGCAGGUCGAGGGAGGUGAUCUUCCUCCUCUACUCUGCCCCAGUGAUUUUACAUCUGGGGUACUGAAUCUAGUUCUUGGCUCCUCAUUUCAAGAAAGACAACGAAUUACUAGAGAGGGUCCAGCAGAGGGCCACAAAGAUGAUUAGAGGCCUGAAGCAUCUCCCGCACAAGGAAAGGCUGAGAUACCUGAGAACCUUCAGCUUGGAGAAGAGAAGACUGAGAGGGAAACCCAUCACCAGUUAUAAAUAACCUAAGUGUGGAUAUCAAGUAGAUGGGGCCAGGCUCUUCCUAGUGGUGCCCAGCAAAAGAACAAUGGACAACAGGUGAAAACUGGAACACAGAAUGUUCCAAAUGAACAUGAGGAAAAAACUUCUUUAAUUUGAGAGUGACAGAGCACUAGAAGGAAAAGGCUGCCCAGGGGGGUUAUGGAGUCUUCUUCUCUGGAGAUAUUCAUGACUCACCCGGGAUCUUUCCUGUAGAUGUACUAUUGAGAACUUGCUUUAGCAGGGAGGUCAGAGUAGAUGAUCCCCAGAGAUCCUUUCCAACCGCUAUGAUCGGUGCAACACUGAUAACCCAUAGCAUUAGCUUUACUGUCUUCUCCUGACGUGAUUUUUUUUUACAGUGGUAUUCUGUGUCGACUUCAAUAGAUUUAUUCUGGUUUAAUGGCUUGGUAAAUUGAAAUCUGUCUCAUUGUACUUUUUUAUUGCAAGUAAAGAUACUGAAGAAGCAAUGCCUCUUUACAAGUUACUCUAAGUGCUUAUCUACUGUUUAUUACAUAUACCACUAACUGCUUAGCAAUUUAAGUCUGAAGUAUGAUGUUUAUCUGAAAAAUACAGUAGGUAUUUUGUGUAUAUAAAAUAAAUUAUUUUCUCAUACAGUUAUUGAACUGCUUACAUAAGAUCAAUUUUGACAUCCAUACCA